rnacentral:rRNA from 1 species
CCUCAAAUCAGGUAGGACUACCCGCUGAACUUAAGCAUAUCAAUAAGCGGAGGAAAAGAAACUAACAAGGAUUCCCCCAGUAACUGCGAGUGAAGAGGGAAGAGCUCAAAUUCAGAAUCUGACAGUCUUGGCUGUCCGAGUUGUAAAUUAGAGAAGUGUUAUCCGCGCUGGGCUGUGCAUAAGUCUCUUGGAAAAGGGCAUCAUAGAGGGUGACAAUCCCGUCUUUGGCACAGACUACCAGGGCUUUUGUGAUACGCUCUCGAUGAGUCGAGUUGUUUGGGAAUGCAGCUCUAAAUGGGUGGUAAAUUCCAUCUAAAGCUAAAUAUUGGCGAGAGACCGAUAGCGCACAAGUACCGUGAGGGAAAGAUGAAAAGAACUUUGAAAAGAGAGUUAAACAGUACGUGAAAUUGUUGAAAGGGAAACGCUUGAAGUCAGUCACAUCCUUCAGAAAUCAACCUGACCAUCAGGUUGGGUGUACUUUCUGUUGGAUGGGUCAGCAUCAAUUUUGAUCAUUGGAUAAAGGCCUUGGGAAAGUGGCAUCUCUGGAUGUGUUAUAGCCCAUGGUUCAUACACAGUGGUUGGGAUUGAGGAACUCAGUGCUUUUUGCACUUCAGGAUGCUGGCAUA